rnacentral:rRNA from 1 species
UACGUAGGGGGCUAGCGUUGUCCGGAAUUACUGGGCGUAAAGGGCUCGUAGGCGGCCAACUAAGUCAGACGUGAAAUCCCUAGGCUCAACCUAGGAACUGCGUCUGAUACUGGAUGGCUUGAAUCCGGGAGAGGGAUGCAGAAUUCCAGGUGUAGCGGUGAAAUGCGUAGAUAUCUGGAGGAAUACCGGUGGCGAAGGCGGCAUCCUGGACCGGCAUUGACGCUGAGGAGCGAAAGCCAGGGGAGCAAAGCGGG